rnacentral:rRNA from 1 species
AUUGAACGCUGGCGGCAUGCCUAACACAUGCAAGUCGAGCGAGCGGCGGACGGGUGAGUAAUGUAUGGGGACUGCCCGCUAGAGGGGGAUAACUACUGGAAACGGUGGCUAAUACCGCAUACUAUCGGAUAACCCAUAUGGGAUUAGCUAGUAGGUGGGGUAAAGGCUCACCUAGGCGACGAUCCCUAGCUGGUCGGAGAGGAUGAACAGCCACACUGGGACGGAGACAGGGCCCAGACUCCGACGGAGGCAGCAGGGGGGAAUAUUGGACAAUGGGGGCAAGCCUGAUGCAGCCAGGCGGCGUGUAGGAAGAAGGCCUUCGGGUUGUAAAGUACUUUAAGUCGGGAGGCGUUACCGACAGAAGAAGCACCGGCUAACUCCGUGCCAGCAGCCGCGGUAAUUC